rnacentral:rRNA from 1 species
ACAGAGAGCAAUAACAGGUCUGUGAUGCCCUUAGAUGCCCUGGGCCGCACGCGAGCUACAAUGCCGGGUACAGCGGGUGUAAUGUCCUUCUCCGAGAGGAGCGGGUAACCCUCUGAAAGCCCUUUUGAUGUACGGCGCACUUCGUGUGCGUACGCGCAUCGCGGCUCGAUUGGGCCUGGGGCUUGCAAUUAUCUCCCACAAACGAGGAAUGCCUUGUAUUGGCUAGUCACUGAGCUUGCAGCGACUCAGUCCCUGCCCUUUGUACACACCGCCCGUCGCUACUACCGAUUGAGUGUACCAGUGAGAUUCUUGGACUGGCGAACCUUCUCUCUUGGCUACUCUUGAGAGAGGGCGACCGACGGGAAGAGACCCGAACUGGUGCACUUAGAGGAAGUAAAA